ensembl:lncRNA novel transcript, antisense to VMA21
CUGUGCUCGAGGAGCAGGCCUGGCGAGUAGCCCAGCCACUCCACGUUGAGCCGGGACUUGCCGCGCAACAUGGUCCUCCUGGGCGGGCGGCGGCUACGCCGCCCCCUGAACUCGCGUGAACACUGGUCCUCGUCUGCGUCUCGGUCGCUGAGCUGGGGGCCGCAAGGAGACCCGAGCAUAUGAGCCGCGAAGAGGGACUACCAGCCAGAGGGCUGUGGUGCUAGGCAACUGAGCGUAUUCCGCCGACGACAACACAAAAAAGCAGUGCGCAUUAUUUCGCCACUACUUGAGCAAAUAAAUGCCUCAUUAAUUACUGCCCGCAGUGGUAGGAAGUCAAGCCCUUGGCAGCUGGGAGGAGUUAAAACACUCACCCGAGUCCGUAAAACUAGAGAAUGUCAGAGUUCAAAGAGCUCUUGCUGAGAAUGACUGUUCCAGACUCGAUGCCAGUGACCCCCAACUUCCACUUAAAAGUUAAAAACAUAUUUUGCAGCUGCUCAGAAAGCCGCCAAUGAGACAACAGGGACUCAAAUAGUAAGAACAGAUGGGCCUCCCGGGCCUGCGCAACCCGAGAGAGGUAAAAACGAAAGGGUUCAUAUGCAGAAGGGACUUGCCUUUUCUCAGAUGAGAUGUUGGACUCGGACUUUUGAGUUAAUGCUGAAAUGAGCUAAGACUUUGGGGAACUGUUGGGAAGACAUGAUCGGUUUUGAAAUGCGAGAAGGACAUGAGAUGUGGGAGGGGCCAAGGGUGGAAUUAUAAGGUUUAGCUCUGUGUCCCCACCCAAAUUUCAUCUCGAAUUGUAAUUCCUAAUGUUGGGGAAGGGACCUGGUGGGAAGUGAUUGGAUCAUGGGGGUGGACUUCCCUCAUGCUGUUCUCCUGAUAAUGAGUGAGUUCUCAUGAGAUCUGCUUGUUUAAAGGUGUAUGGCACUUCCCCCCUUGCUCACGCUUUCUCUCUUCUGCUGCCAUGAGAAGAAAGUGCUUGCUUUCCCUUUGCUUUUCUCCCAUGAUUCAGUUUCUGAGGCCUCCCAGUCAUGCUUCCUGUUAAGUCUGUGGAACUUGGAGUCAAUUAAACCUCUUUUCUUCAUAAAUUACUCAGUCUCAGGUGGUUCUUUAUAGCAGUGUGAGAACAGACUAAUGUACUAAGCAAUAAGAAAGAUGUCCAGGCCCCAAAUGCCCCAACCUGACACCUAGCUGGCUCUUAAAGAGGGUAGCUACUGUGAAGAGGGAGAAAAAGGCCUUGGCAUCUGCAGACCCUCUUUCUUUAUGAUCCUUUAAAUAUAAAGGAUGUGUUUAUGUCUGUCUUCCUAAGUAGGAAGUUUUAUUCUUUAAACUAAAUUUGACCUACUGGCAUGUGACAAGAAUCACUGACUUGUCAUUACUGGCAUGUGACAAGAAUCACUGACUUGUCAUCUAACUGACAUCUGAAGUUCCUAACAUCCUAAGGGAUGGGGACAAGUAGGAGGAAGCUACAGAAAAACAUAUAUGUCUGAGUUUUUGUUUUAAAUGUGUGAGGUAAAAGCAAAUUGUUUCUGUUCUGCUUAAACUGUUAUUUGAAAGUAUGUUGCCCCAGGCCUAGGCAUUUGCUAAGCUCUCUCAAAUUCACAUCUUCUCUUAUUCUCUCAUUCUCUGCCUCCAGUGGUUUCUAUUUAGAGGUGGAUCAACCCAUUAGCAGUCUUGGACUCUGCUCCUUUUCUGCUUCUCAGAAACCCCUUUCAGUUUUCUACCAUUUGCAGCACACUUCAUGCAAUAAUUGGCAAAACUCUGUCAAUUUAAUUAGACUUCCUGACAAUUCCAGAACAUCUCCCCCCUUCAAAGCACUUGCUUUCCAAUAGCAACUGAAACAUAAAUCCUGAUGCUUUGACUUUCAUGUUUCUCUUGAAAUAAUAUUGUUAAUGACUUUUUGUAACCAUUGGAGGCCUUUGAAUAGAGUUUGAAUUAAAAUACUGGCAACAAAUAUCUGUGAGUCAUGUAAAAAAAGCUCAAAAUUAAAUGUUCAUUUUGCACAGAAGAACAUUUUCAUUAAUAUUUCUUUGCUUGAUGUAUCUGAUCUUGUCAUAAAGAGUUGUGCUAAGGGGAAAUUUUGUUUAUAGAAUUAUAUCAUAUUAUAUUAUGUUUAUAUCAUAUUUCCCCAUUGUUUAACACUGCAAAAAUAUAAAUAAGUGCUCCUGUUAGGAAGAAAACAAUUUGUUCUCAAAAACGUAUUUUAUAAUGUAUCAAGAUUUUUAAAA